GAUGAACGCUGGCGGCGUGCCUAAUACAUGCAAGUCGAGCGAACAGACGAGGAGCUUGCUCCUCUGACGUUAGCGGCGGAAGGGGGAGUAAAACGUGGAUAACCUACCUAUAAGACUGGGAUAACUUCGGGAAACCGGAGCUAAUACCGGAUAAUAUAUUGAACCGCAUGGUUCAAUAGUGAAAGACGGUUUUGCUGUCACUUAUAGAUGGAUCCGCGCCGCAUUAGCUAGUUGGUAAGGUAACGGCUUACCAAGGGAACGAUGCGUAGCCGACCUGAGAGGGUGAUCGGCCACACUGGAACUGAGACACGGUCCAGACUCCUACGGGAGGCAGCAGUAGGGAAUCUUCCGCAAUGGGCGAAGGCUUGACGGAGCAACGCCGCGUGAGUGAUGAAGGUCUUCGGAUCUUAAAACUCUGUUAUUAGGAAAGAACAAAUGUGUGAGUAACUAUGCACGUCUUGACGGUACCUAAUCAGAAAGCCACGGCUAACUACGUG
rnacentral:rRNA from 1 species